rnacentral:rRNA from 1 species
UACGGGGGGGGCAAGCGUUGUUCGGAAUUACUGGGCGUAAGGGGCUCGUAGGUGGCCAACUAAGUCAGACGUGAAAUCCCUCGGCUUAACCGGGGAACUGCGUCUGAUACUGGAUGGCUUGAGUUUGGGAGAGGGAUGCGGAAUUCCAGGUGUAGCGGUGAAAUGCGUAGAUAUCUGGAGGAACACCGGUGGCGAAGGCGGCAUCCUGGACCAACACUGACACUGAGGAGCGAAAGCCAGGGGAGCAAACGGG